AGCGAACGCUGGCGGCAGGCCUAACACAUGCAAGUCGAACGAACUCUUCGGAGUUAGUGGCGGACGGGUGAGUAACACGUGGGAACGUGCCUUUUGGUUCGGAAUAACUCAGGGAAACUUGUGCUAAUACCGAAUGUGCCCUUCGGGGGAAAGAUUUAUCGCCAUUAGAGCGGCCCGCGUCUGAUUAGGUAGUUGGUGAGGUAACGGCUCACCAAGGCGACGAUCAGUAGCUGGUCUGAGAGGAUGACCAGCCACACUGGGACUGAGACACGGCCCAGACUCCUACGGGAGGCAGCAGUGGGGAAUCUUGCGCAAUGGGCGAAAGCCUGACGCAGCCAUGCCGCGUGAAUGAUGAAGGUCUUAGGAUUGUAAAAUUCUUUCACCGGGGACGAUAAUGACGGUACCCGGAGAAGAAGCCCCGGCUAACUUCGUG
rnacentral:rRNA from 1 species